AGCGCAGGCGGUUUCUUAAGUCUGAUGUGAAAGCCUUCGGCUCAACCGAAGAAGUGCAUCGGAAACUGGGAAACUUGAGUGCAGAAGAGGACAGUGGAACUCCAUGUGUAGCGGUGGAAUGCGUAGAUAUAUGGAAGAACACCAGUGGCGAAGGCGGCUGUCUGGUCUGUAACUGACGCUGAGGCUCGAAAGCAUGGGUAGCAAAACGA
rnacentral:rRNA from 1 species